GGUUGCUAAUGUGGCUGGAGGUAUGAAAGAUAGUAAGCCCACACUUCUGGGCUCCCCUGACCUCCAAGACAUCUCAUUCUCUCCAGUUGCCAAGACCAUCAAAUUUAUGAUGUCUCUGGAAAACAAAGGAGGCAAUGGACAGCUGCAUCUGCCUUACCUCAUGUCUAUCCUUUGUACUGCUUACAUGCAGCCUUGGAAGUAAAUAAAAUAAAGCAUCUCUGAACUGAACUCAAAAUGUCAUUCUUGCCCAUUCUCUCACCUAGACCAGACUCUAGUCUGACUGUAUAAGGUGAAAGUGCUGCCAGGGAAGCUCUUGCUAAAAGCCAUGUGUGGUCCAUUAGUUCAAGAUCUAGCCCCAUCUAAAUUGUCAAAUAUGUGGUAAGUGUGGAUAUUAUAUCUGCUGAGGUCAAGGGAUUACUACCUCAAUAGAUUUUCAAUUCUCUAUUUUGGUAGGAAAACAAUGCCCAAUAGAGAGAGAGAGUGUGUGUGAGUGUGUGUGUGUGUGUGUAUUGUGUAUAAUCAGUAGAAAGAAAACAACUAAUCUGACUUAAAAGGUUUAAGAACCAUCUAAUUCCUAAUAGGUGGAAAUCUGUUCAUUUAUUAUAAGCUUAAACUUCUCUUAGUCACAUUAGACAGUAACAAUGUGUCCCAAAUCCCACCUGCUUGGCUUCUUUUUCCCCUCUAAAUGUCUCUCCCUAGGCACCUUUACAAACCUCCAGGGCUCCUUACAACACAGUGUGAACUGACCCACCUUAUGCAAUAUUAGUAAAUUAUAGUCCAAACUGGAAACUUAUGAAUAUGAAAGGGAGCGCUAUUAGUAAUCAGGCCACACACAUAAUGGGGACUGUCCUGGGAAAACUGGGAUUAUAUUUGCCCUUAUAGAUAUGAUAAUCCAAAUGUUUGACUGUCCAAGGCUCCUUCCAAUAAGACCCUGUUCAGUCAACAGCCCCUGUUAGAGAGGCAGCUCUAGGCUCAUGGUGACCCUGAGCCACCACACUGGACUUUAGUUGAGGUGGUAAUAACCAAAGUUGGUAAUAAGCCUGGGCUAGUGACUUUGGGAGACCCUGAGGAGGCUGGGCUUGACAUGACGAGCCUGGUCAAGCAGAUUCUCUCUUUGAUGAAUAAAAAAUACUAACUAAAAGCCGUCGGGGGGCCAGUGAUUCUAUUUUUUCUGCCUCCACACGAUUCACAUGUGGAACAUACUCUCCCAUUGUCAGUAAUAUCUGUCAUUAUACUGCAACAAUUCUCAACUGCUAGGGAGUGGGGAGGGAAAAUGGCAAUACAUGAAUCUCCAGCUAUUCUACCAAAACUACGAAUGUACACACCCUUGACCAGGUAAUUCCAACUCUAGAAAUUUAUCCUUCAGAUAUAAUUGCACACUCGUAAAAUGAUGUAUGUCAAAAUUAUUCAUUGCAGUAAUGUUUUACUAACAAAAUGUUGGCCAAAAAAAUCCCUAAAUUUUGAUCAACAGGGAACUGAUUAAAUUAUGGUACAUCUAUAAAAAUGUAAACAAUAAUUGUACUAAAUGGAAUGACCUUCAAGAUAUAUUAAGUGAAAAAAGGUAUUAAGAAUGAAACAUUUGGAGAGGAGAUCCACUGAUUCAGUAUUAUCAUGGAAAUCUGUUAGAACCAAAGGCAUACCCAUGUCUUUUGCAUGCUCUCAUAAGCUUUCUAGUAGCUUUGGUGUUUAUUAAAAAAAAUUCCACUCCAAGAACUCCAAAAUAUGUGGUUGACCUCUUUCUGUUAUUUCUGUUGUUUGAACCUACUUAUGCAGUGAACAGAAUUACCGCCAUGCACAACAGAGAAUCAGUCCUCCACACUAAGGAGAAAAAUGUAUUGAUUUGAGGAUUAAAAUAUGUGCAACAGCACAUAUUUUAUUCAUUUAUUUCCUUAUGAUUUAAAGCAAUUGUCAAGAAGCCUAUAUGCUUUUAGAGUGGUGGCCUGCUUUAAAUGCUGGUAUGUAUUCUAUCAUAAUUCAAGUAUGAUUUGGAGGGUUCAACAGUAUUUUAACUGAACUGAGAACAUGUCAAAAUACAACUAUAAUUGGGAAAACUUUUGGGGAGAGUUUUUUACUUCUAAGCAGAAAUGGUUCAAAUAUGAUAGUGUACAAUUGCUUGUUUACUUUUAUGAAAUGCUUCUCUCUGGCCUAUGAUGUUCUGUUACAACUUUGUUAUAACCAUUGUUGUCUACACACACACGUGCACACUACUCCUCCUCCUCCUCCUCUCCCACUUCCUCCUCCUCCUCCUCCUCCUACUACUUCUUCAGACAUUUCUAAGAUAAUUUUUCUCCCCUAGGGGAAGAUAAGACUUAAAUGUUAAAAGGGGAAUGAAAGAUCAUGGGAUCUUUGCUAGAAUUAUAGAAUAUUUGUGGCUGAAAUGGCUUUAGAAAACAUUUGUCCAAAGAUUUCAUUUUAUAGAUAAGGAAACUGAGACUCAGAGAGGCCAAGUUACAUAUCCAAGGUCACACAGCUGGAUGGUCAAAGGCAGGACUGGAAUCCAUUUCUCCUGACUCUCAGGUUGAAAUAUUGCAGAUUCAUCAGAGGGAGCAAGACUUAAAACAAUUUAUGAAAAAGGUGCCACUUUGAAAAGAUGUUCCCUUGCUCCUGGAUACCUUCUAAUCCUUCCUCCAUUUCCUUAUCAGUACUUUUGGUUGAGACCCAUAGCCCAGACUUUUCUGUGCCCUUUACCUGCUGCCAACUUCUCUUUUUAUCUUCCCCCAACUCUACUCCAAUUCUUAAGUGUACUGCUGCUUCUUCCUAGUAGGAAAAUAUUUUACAAACCUGCUCAGAACUCAAAGGAGGUCACUGGGAAAUGGACUGCUUAAUGCAAAAGACUAAUGGUAGAAAUGUAGACAGCAAUGGAAGAGGAGCUUUUAUGUUUUAAAUUAAGUAACACAGGUUGGAAGGCGGGAGAGCUCAGUUGGUAAAGUGAUUCUCAGCCUUUAAAUAAUGGUUUAAAUGAUGGUUUAAAUAAACCAUCAAGGCAGCAAUCAACUGCCUAACUCUUCAACCAUCUGUGUAUAAAGUGAAGCUUAAAAUCUAUAGUAAAUAUGAGAACUAUUAUUACAGGAUUGCCCUUUAAACCUGUAAAACAGCUAACAUUUUCAAAGUCCUUUAUAGUUUAUAAGGCACUCACGCAUCUAUUAUCUUCUUUGGGCCUUAACCAUGUUAGCUCAGUGAGGCAAUCCAUGUUGUUAUUUAGAGGUAAAAACAGAGGUUCAGAAUUAUAGAGAUGUAUUCAGAGUAGAGUCAAAUCUAGGUUUGAUUCUAUAAAUCUCAUGUUCUUUUCACUUCACUACUUUAUCCCCCAGGAAGCCUGACAGCUGACCUUCACCGUUUUAGAAAUUAUGGAAAUUGCACCAAAGCAGU
rnacentral:lncRNA from 10 species